CUCAGCUGUGAGACCAAGAACCUUGGUAUUUACCCCAGACGAUGAGGCCAUUUUAUACUUGGGGACCCAUCCGGGAUUUGAAGUAAAAGUUACAGGAAUCAACUCCUGGAUACAUCACAAUCAAGUUAAGCCUUGAAGAACUGAAGGAGAAGUCCCUGACAGCUCGGAACACCCUCAAUAUCACUGUGAAGAAAUGGGGGAUCUCAAGCUGAGAAUCACCAAAGAUAAGUAAAUGAAUUCGCCGUCAGCUGAAGUAUUACCACGAUCAUUAGAAGAUUUAGCUAACGUUAACACUAAAGUUACCCUAGUCACUCAGUCCAAUGCAACUUAUCCUGAUGAGCAAGUAAAAAAUGUAUUUCUCCCAAUCAUAUCACAAGUUAUAGAGGAUGGCCCAGACCUGAAUUUUACAGAAUCUUCACCUCUUGUAAGAGUCUUUUGCACUGUACUUCCAAGGUGCACAUUAUCCAUUUGUUUCACAUCUUUGAGAACAAAGGGAACUUACCUGGGAACCUUGUCCAGCUGCUCAUAUGAAGUAUUUCUUAGUUGGACAACUCAGGAAAGGUAAUACAACUCUUCAGAAAAGAGAGACAAAUGGUAUCUUAAAGUAAGAAAGCAACACCAGUUCCUUCUCUUUAAAUACCCAAAUUCAAGGUGACCUCAGUUUACUAGUAACACCAACACUUCCUGCAUUUCUACGGGUUGGUACUCAGUGUUGAAAGAUAACUCACCUUUACCCCUAGCCCGAAUGUUAGCCUGGGGAAUACAAAGAAUGUUCUUAAAAUUCCACCCCAAUCACGUAUUCCUUUCCAACAUUCGGGCAGAAUUUGCCUCAAUAUGGGAGGACCUC